GUUCCUUGUGAUGGUUGAUUCGAAAAAAUCAUGCUAAUUCUGAUUGUUUUGUGAUUAAGAUUUAAUUCACUUCUACCGAAGGAACA